UCCAGUGAGAAGGGGAAAGGUCGAGAGUCUUCGGGGAGGCAAAAAGAAAAAGAGAGAGAAAAGGAGAGAGGGGGAUGAAGAGGAGAAGCUUCCUCUCGCUUCGGGAAAACUCAUCUCAUUGAUGCGUCGCCAGAACCCAUGCUUCUAACUCCUCUCAUCAGUCUUGUUUCUCUUCUCCGAGCACUCCUCACUACCCAGGGUCAGGGUGUUACAAAAUGGUAUCAGAGCAUGGGUUCACACCUCGGACCACGACGCUUUCUGAUUUGUGAUUUGGCAGUCCUAAGUGAUUCAAGUAUGUUUCUGAAUCUUAGGUUUUUGUUUCUGUGUUGCGAUGCAAUUUGGGAUUGAAUUGUUGGGAAUCCUGUGUCGUUUAGAUCAAUGAUUGAUGGGUUUUGGUUCGUUCUUUUUAUUUUGUUUGGAGGUUUUGGGCAAUUGGGUUUAGGAUAACUACAUGCAAGUUUGGAAUUGUGAUUGAGAUCGGAUCUGAUCGUGGAAUUUUAGCCGUGUUUUGGUUUGCUUAAAUUGGGGCCUUGACUUCCAAAUUUUAUUCCAAUUUAUCAUUUAUCUAUCUUCGCUUAUUAUCUUCCCUCUAGGAUUUAUUAAGAGCAAUCAGAUUUGGUUGUCAUGAACUUAGAAGGAAGUAUAUAGAUUUUUUUUCCUGAUUCUGCUCAGGCUAGCUACUACAAGACUUCCCAUCCCAAUGAAAAUGCAACUUUCCAAAGAAGUUUAUUCGUAUGGGUGCAUUCAUGUGAUCCAGCAGAGACUUACCAAAAGGACAUUUAGAUGCCACCAAUACAAUUAUAGAGAAGUUGUGCAGAAGUAAAAGAUGCACAUGGACUUAAACUAGCCUCCAUACUUGAUUUUGGAAGGUUUUCUUUAUUUCCCUCGUUUAUUUAUUUGUUUAUAUAGAUGUAUAUAAUUCUUUUUUUGCUAUGUAUUUGUAUAUGUAAUUAUACAUAUAUCUCGUCAACGAAGCCUGGGAAGGAUGCAAUAAUCUCCGGAAUGCAGGUAAUACAUUGAGGUAAAUUACUUCUUCUAAAUAAUCAGUUAACUUAUAUAAAUGUUUUGCAUUAUAUAUAUGUAUAUAUAUUCUGUAUGUAUGACCUGUUCAGGGCUAUAGUUGUGUUUGUUAUUUUCAAAUCAUAAUGAUCUGUUAUUGAAAGAAAAAUCAAAGAUCAUGGAUGGCUUAUGUGAUCUGAAUGCAAGUAAAUAUUUGGAUUGAAACCGGUUAGGCCUGGGAUAUAAUUAAGGAGGGAUCGAGUUCCCUUGGGUGAAAGACCCUAAACCUGAUUGGGGCUCAUGGAUUAGAGCGGAUAAUUAAGUAGGGAUUGUGCCUCCCUAGGGUGAAAAACCCAAAACCCAAUUGGGAAUUCCGCUUAGUACGGGGUGUCCUCGGUGGCCUUAAUCUGAGGUUCUGCUCAGUACGGGGUGUUCUCGAUGGCCUUAAUUCAAGAGGUAUAAGGCCUAACCGGGAGAAAAAGGAAAAGGAAUAAAAUUUGAUGAUGAAAAUGGAUCUACCUUAUGAAUAGCAAUAUUCAGUUUGAAUUGCAAGACCAGGUAUGGUCAAAUGUUUGUGGCUUUAUCGAUAUGAAGACCAGGUAUGGUCAACUUGAAUUGCAAUACGUGUGGAAUAAUCUAUUAAAUUUGAACUUUGCUCAAGUACUGAUAUUGAAAACACUAUAUUCAUAUCCAUAUCUUUUCAUUCCUGAAUAUAUUUUUUGGUGUCAUACCUGGAAUGCAUUCUGUUCCAGUGUCAUGAAUCAUGACGCUUCCACAGUAAAUUGUAAUGUUCUUAACUUUCUAUUUGUGAGAAGACCAGGAAAGUCCAGUUAAUUUCUUAUAUCUACUCUUAGAUCUAUAUAUAAGUGCAUCAUCUCAUAAAUUUCAUGUAUAAUAGUUUGACUGUUUGGGAUUAUAUUCUGAUAUUGUGGCAGUAUCUUUUAUAA